AUUUAACCCGCGGUCCUUGGUGAGUGAAUGAAAAAAAGGUUUCUGGGAUGCAGAUCGUGCGGCGGCGCUCCCGAUCGCCGAUCUGAUCGGGAGCAGGACGACGGCGGCAGUGCUCCGGGAGGCGAGGAACGGUGAGGAAGUGGCGAAGGUCGGGAUCCAUACCGGCGGUUUGUAGUGGAGGCCGGCGGCGGUGGAGCUCCAUGGCCGGUGGCGUUCCUGAUCCCCGAUCCAAUCGGGAGCAGGACAACGACGGCAGAGCUCCGGGAGGCGGGGAACGACGGGGAAGUGGCGGAGGUCGGGAUCCAUCCCGGCGGUUCGUAGUGGAGGACAGUGGCUGCGGCGCUCCAUGGCCGUGGCGACUCGGUCUUCUAGGGUGAAGAUACGAAGGAAGGAGAUGAGGUGGGAUGCAGAGAAGAGAAGGGAGAAUAGGGACUGCGCGGCUACCAGCUGCAGGUCCGGCGGCGGCUCUGGUCAUCGGAUCCAGCCGCUCCCCGUCUCCCUGCGUCGUCCCAAGAUGGUCCGGCUGGGCGCCGCCCUGACGGCCGAGCGUGUGCUAUCCACGGAACGCGGCUCCUCCACCCAGGCCAUCCUCCACAACGCCAGCGAGGACACUACUUUGUCCAAACGAUCAUCACGACCACGCGCAGGUACACACACAUGUGCUCCCCUGGUUUAUUUUGAUGCCUUUUUGCGACAUGUCUGUUAUGUUUCAGAAUCUUUUUGAAACUGAAAUUUGAAAAGAGCAUGAGUUUUGAUAGGAUUGUAUAUAUCCUUCAGUUGCUUACUGUAACCUGUACCUUCUGGUAGAUUGACAUAGAUAGAAUCAUACUGAUUUCCUGUAAUUUCGUCAUCACAAAGAUGUUCUAUUUGUUUGGUCUACUGUAUUGUGAUGACCAUCAGAAACCAUCUAUAUAUGUUAUUUGUACUGUUAAAUUUAGUUCUAGCAACCACGAGGAAGUAAUGUGUUAUACGCCUAACACAUGAUUAAGAAUUAACAUGCUUGAAGAUCUGGUUCACCUCAAACCACUUUUCCAAAUAUCAACUGGCUGCUGUUUUUGGAAAUUUUGAUCAGCACUCCAGAAAAAUGUAUGAUGUACCUUUUUAACUUUGGAGUAUGAGUUUGCAAACUCCAGAAUUGGAGUAUUCGUAUGCAAACUCCAGAAAGUUUCUCUGGUCCUGAUACACAUCAUGAAGUAGGUAACUGGUGUGGUACUUAUAUUCAGAUUUGACAGGAAUAGAAACUGAACCUAUUAAAUAGUUAUGAUAGGCUAGAUGGGUUAUAACUCUUCAUAAAUUCAUUUCCGAAUUAUUGUUUGAACAACGCUGGGUUGGAGCCCCGGUGGUGCUAACAUCUGCUGCUGGACGGCGACCAAUGGGACAAGUCCCUAGGUAAGACGAAAACAAGUGUUGCAUCAGCACAUUUGAUGCACAACAGCCAUCGUAAGUUCCUCUCCCUUCUCUAAUUAGUAUUGAUAUUUCAUUGUUAUUAGAGCAGAGCAGCCACCAAAAGUUCCUCUUUUGAUGCAUCAUUGAAAACAUCUCUCUCUCUCUCUCUCUCUAAUUGAUUCACACAUUUAUCAGUUCACGCGGCGCACGGUGUGUCCAUUUCAUUUGGAUUUUGAAACACAAUGAAUGGAAAAGUAGAGGCUGGGCGGACUACAAAAUGGGCAGCAGAGUGGUUGUUGAACUUUAUCUGUCCUCCAUUAAUCCUUUGCUGUGUGUACAUAUAGAAGUGCUGAAGACUGUUGGGUGACUGAUUCGACGCAAAGUUCAAUGGCUCCUUCUGUGCUAUCUGGAGCUGGAUUGGUCAUCACACAGUCGAUGCAGAGUUCGAAGCACCGCGUAGUAUGAGCAGAGAUUGCUGGUAGUUCUGAAAGUACAGUGAACCAAGGUGUAGGUUCAGAACUUGAGAUCGGUUUGACCUCGGGUGUUUAUUCUGUGUCUGAUCAUGUACGCAUGUCAUAAAAUUAAGAUCUGGGGUUACCUCAUGUGUUUGUUGACUGUAA